rnacentral:lncRNA from 1 species
GUUCCGCGGGGAGAGGGAAGGCGAAGGCGGGCUGAGCCCGGCGCCGGGAGGAGUGGUCUAAACUCCACCGCGGCUUUCGCAUCGGAGACGUGUCUUUAGGAAGCAGAGAGGGUUCGAUUCUGGACUCCGCCCAUGACUCACUUCUCUUGUAAAGAAAGAGUUGUCCUUCCUGGUACUCCAGGUUUAUGGGAUGCAGGAUAAUGGAGCAUGCUCUAUCUGGGACAUUGCUAGUCUUAUGACAGAGGGAGAAGACAGCGAUGAGUUUUCGAAGAACUCCAGGAAGUGGCUGCAGAGCAAAGUAGGAUCCUGAUACUGAUCACACUUUUGUCAAGAAGCCAAAGAACAAAGUUGAUUAAAGCAUUAUGCCUGGAAAUAAAGGGGAACAGGACAUCAGCAAAAUUCUUUUUAUCCAUUCACACAUUGAAGACAUGUAAGAUCAAUGACACACAAAAUGGAAGAGAAAUCUUAAUCACACGUGUGAAGACUAGCAGGUAUUUUUUUCCUGUGCACAUCAACGGGCUGUAUUGUGGCAUAUACAUGAAAGGGUGAAGUGCUUGAUGUCUUUAGUUUAUGUUUUCCUAAAACUCCAUGCUACUAGGAG